rnacentral:rRNA from 1 species
UACGUAGGGUGCAAGCGUUAUCCGGAAUUAUUGGGCGUAAAGAGCUCGUAGGCGGUUUGUUGCGUCUGCCGUGAAAGUCCGGGGCUUAACCCCGGAUCUGCGGUGGGUACGGGCAGACUAGAGUGCAGUAGGGGAGACUGGAAUUCCUGGUGUAGCGGUGAAAUGCGCAGAUAUCAGGAGGAACACCGAUGGCGAAGGCAGGUCUCUGGGCUGUAACUGACGCUGAGGAGCGAAAGCAUGGGGAGCGAACAGG